rnacentral:tmRNA from 1 species
GGGGCUGUCCUGGUUUCGACGUGGGUACGGAUCUGGAGUGGCGCAUGCCGAGCUUGAAUCACGCUCGUAAAUCUCGGUUCGAAAAACUAACUGCAAACGACGAUCGUUUCGCACUCGCCGCUUAAACCCGGUGAGACUUGCAACAGCACGCUAAUGGGCUGGGCAACAAGGCCGCAAGGUCAUGAAGCUGCAAGUUAAUUCACAUUAGCUGGUUGGCUGUCGGGCAUCUUGACCGCCAAUGAGAUCCAAGGGUGCUGGCCUUCGAUGCAGCGUGUGGCUGCGCGGCAUCAAGGGCGAGAUCAAAACAGACCACUAAGCAUGUAGAACUGCCUGGCAAAGGCUUGCGGACGCGGGUUCAACUCCCGCCAGCUCCACCA